GAUGAAGAACGUAGUAAAAUGCGAUACUUGGUGUGAAUUGCAGAAUCCCGUGAACCAUCGAGUUUUUGAACGCAAGUUGCGCCCGAAGCCUUUUGGCCGAGGGCACGUCUGCCUGGGCGUCACGCAUCGCGUCGCCCCCCACAACUCUCCGUAAAGGGAACUUGUGUUUUGGGGGCGGAUAUUGGUCUCCCGUGCUCAUGGCGUGGUUGGCCGAAAUAGGAGUCCCUCCGGUGGACGCACGAACUAGUGGUGGUCGUAAAAACCCUCGUCUUUUGUUUCGUGCCGUUAGUCGCGAGGGAAACUCUUUAAAAACCCAAAUGUGUCGUCUCUUGACGGCGCUUCGACCGCGACCCCAGGUCAGGCGGGACUACCCGCUGAGUUUAAGCAUAUCAAUAAGCGGAGGA
rnacentral:misc_RNA from 1 species